rnacentral:lncRNA from 1 species
GCAAAAUACGCGGACCCUCCGAGUCGGGUCGGGUCAACGCGCGGAUCCCCUCACCAAAACGGCGUCGUUUUGAUAAUCUUUAAAAUCAAAAAAAAAUAUUCUGAAACUUCAUUUUUUAUGCUGCAAAAAUAAAAAAAAAAGAGAGAGAUCCUCUCUUUGGAGUCUGGAAGACUCCAACCUUUGGAGUUCCAACCUCCACCGCGCCGUUCAUACACCCAUAGCACCACCGCCAUAGCCGACGGUCGGCGAUGCGUCAAAUCGAGCCUUUGCAGCCCCUUUCCCCG